UACGAAGGGGGCUAGCGUUGCUCGGAAUCACUGGGCGUAAAGGGCGCGUAGGCGGCCUUCUAAGUCAGACGUGAAAUCCCCAGGCUUAACUUGGGAACUGCGUCUGAUACUGGUGAGCUUGAGUCCGGAAGAGGCGAGUGGAAUUCCCGGUGUAGCGGUGAAAUGCGCAGAUAUCGGGAGGAACACCAAUGGCGAAGGCAGCUCGCUGGGACGUGACUGACGCUGAGACGCGAAAGCGUGGGGAGCAAACAGG
rnacentral:rRNA from 1 species